UCUACUUGCUUAAGUUUCCAAGCCUUUUGCUAAAGAUGCUGCCACGCUGUGUCUAGAUAUCCAAUAAUGUGAUCAAUUGCUACUCACCUUCCACCGAGACGCAUGCCAAAGUCACAACAGACGUUGUCUGAAGGAAAGCAAUGCCAUUUAUUAUCUCACUGGAUGUUAAAGAUAGAACCAUAUUUAUUGUAAGAAGAAUCUGAUGGAAGAAGCCCUUGAAUGCUAAUGCUAUCCUGUAAAAAAAAAACUAUCCUAGAGGCCAUUGACAACAAUGGCCUUCAAACUCCUCUUGGUUGGAGAUGGGAAAAGGGGAUGGAAGCCAAAUGGACAGAUUCAGAGGAGAGGGUAAAGAGACCAGCUAGAAGCCUACAGGGAUCUUUCUCCCAGAAUGAGUGAGGCUUAAAAAAAAAUUUAAAAAAAGAUAUGUUUUGUGGAGAUGGUGUCUCCAAAUGCCCUCAUGAAGUCAGUUUUCCAGCUGAAAGCAUCAUGCAUGGAGAAAUUGAAGGAGCUCCAGAAACUGUUGAGCGGCCAGAAGUGUUUCAGGUGUUCCCUGCUCUCCAGAACACACCUAUACAAGCUGUCCAAGCGGCCGGUACAGUUCAAGGGAGUGUUGCCAGCAGUACAGGUUCAAUGCAUACAUACACAACAUUAACGGUGUGCAUUCUGCUUCCCACAGCUGCACAGCUCUCAUACGAGAGCAGAAAGCUGAAGCGAGCAGCCCAGGCUGGUGCUGCAGGUAAGUGGCAGAGCUCACUCAGUGGACUGUUGACAGAGCUCUUGGCUCCCUUGUGCUUACCUUAGAAGUCUUCAAACAGUAAAAUGAAAGAGAAAGGGACAUGAGAGGAAAUGAAACCACAUAAAGAUAACUAGUCAGCCAUCUCUU
rnacentral:lncRNA from 1 species